rnacentral:rRNA from 1 species
GACGUAGGAGGCGAGCGUUGUCCGGAUUCAUUGGGCGUAAAGAGCACGCAGGCGGUUUGGCAAGUCGGAUGUGAAAACCCGGAGCUCAACUCCGGACCUGCAUCCGAAACUGCCCGACUAGAGGUAGGUAGGGGAGACUGGAAUUCCUGGUGUAGCGGUGGAAUGCGCAGAUAUCAGGAGGAACACCGAUGGCGAAGGCAGGUCUCUGGGCCAUUACUGACACUGAGAAGCGAAAGCAUGGGGAGCGAACAGG